AUUGAACGCUGGCGGCAGGCUUAACACAUGCAAGUCGAGCGGGGGAAGGUAGCUUGCUACCGGACCUAGCGGCGGACGGGUGAGUAAUGCUUAGGAAUCUGCCUAUUAGUGGGGGACAACAUCUCGAAAGGGAUGCUAAUACCGCAUACGUCCUACGGGAGAAAGCAGGGGAUCUUCGGACCUUGAGCUAAUAGAUGAGCCUAAGUCGGAUUAGCUAGUUGGUGGGGUAAAGGCCUACCAAGGCGACGAUCUGUAGCGGGUCUGAGAGGAUGAUCCGCCACACGGGGACUGAGACACGGCCCAGACGCCUACGGGAGGCAGCAGUGGGGAAUAUUGGACAAUGGGGGGAACCCUGAUCCAGCCAUGCCGCGUGUGUGAAGAAGGCCUUAUGGUUGUAAAGCACUUUAAGCGAGGAGGAGGCUACUCUAGUUAAUACCUAGGGAUAGUGGACGUUACUCGCAGAAUAAGCACCGGCUAACUCUGUGCCAGCCGCCGCCGUAA
rnacentral:rRNA from 1 species